rnacentral:rRNA from 1 species
UACGUAGGAUCCAAGCGUUAUCCGGAGUGACUGGGCGUAAAGAGUUGCGUAGGUGGUUUGUUAAGUAGAUAGUGAAAUCUGGCGGCUCAACCGUACAGGCUAUUAUCUAAACUGACAAACUCGAGAAUGGUAGAGGUAACUGGAAUUUCUUGUGUAGGAGUGAAAUCCGUAGAUAUAAGAAGGAACACCAAUGGCGUAGGCAGGUUACUGGACCAUUUCUGACACUGAGGCACGAAAGCGUGGGGAGCGAACCGG